UUGUCAUCAGGCCUAUACUGAAAUCCAUCCAGUUUGCAAGGAGUUCUAGAGCAUGUUCUCUGCUGGCAUAGCCUUUGAGAGCCCAGGGUGACACCUCCAUGCUGUGAUGAGAAACUGAAGUCAAACCUUGGUAGAAGAAAAAGUUCACGAAAACUUCAAAAUACAACCAGCGGCAAACUAUUUCUUCUCACUGCUGUCAUCGGGAACACAAAAGACAAGCUCAGUUUCCUCUGGAGCCGCCCAAAUGCUGAGCUACCUCUGCCAAUGUGUACGUCAACCUCAUUAUCAAUAUGUAUACUGUCAAGGGGAUAGAACCUGACAUAACAUUAAAGGAAAAGGGAUUUGGAUCAUAUUUA